rnacentral:rRNA from 1 species
UAGGGAAUCUUCCACAAUGGACGAAAGUCUGACGGAGCAACGCCGCGUGAGUGAAGAAGGAUUUCGGUUCGUAAAACUCUGUUGUUAGGGAAGAAAAAAUGUAUAGUAACUAUAUACAAAAGAGACGGUACCUAACCAGAAAGCCACGGCUAACUACGUGCCAGCAGCCGCGGUAAUACGUAGGUGGCAAGCGUUGUCCGGAAUUAUUGGGCGUAAAGCGCGCGCAGGUGGUUUAGAAAGUCUGAUGUGAAAGCCCACGGCUCAACCGUGGAGGGUCAUUGGAAACUAAUAAACUUGAGUGCAGGAGAGAAAAGUGGAAUUCCUAGUGUAGCGGUGAAAUGCGUAGAGAUUAGGAGGAACACCGGUGGCGAAAGCGGCUUUUUGGCCUGCAACUGACACUGAGGCGCGAAAGCGUGGGGAGCAAACAGG